UCAAGUUAUUAAGGGUGCAGGGCGGAUGCCUUGGCACUAGGAGCCGAUGAAGGACGUGAUAAGCUGCGAUAAGCUUCGGGGAGUUGCACGUAAACUUUGAUCCGAAGAUUUCCGAAUGAGGAAACUCACUUAGAGUAAUGUCUAAGUAUCAUUAAGUGAAUACAUAGCUUAAUGAGGGGAACUCAGGGAACUGAAACAUCUAAGUACCUGAAGGAAGAGAAAGAAAUUCGAUUCCGUAAGUAGCGGCGAGCGAACGCGGAUUAGCCCAAACCAAUAAAGUUUUCUUUAUUGGGGUUGCGGACAUAUCAUAACGAAGAGGUAUCGUAAUUGAAGAGGUUUGGAAAGACCCACCACAGAAGGUAAUAGUCCUGUAUGUUAAACGAGAAGACUUCAGAUAUGAUCCAGAGUACCACGGGACACGUGAAACCCUGUGGGAAGCAGGAGGGACCACCCUCCAAGGCUAAAUACUACCUAGUGACCGAUAGCGUAUAGUACCGUGAGGGAAAGGUGAAAAGAACCCCGGGAGGGGAGUGAAAUAGAACCUGAAACCCUGCACUUACAAGCUGUGGAAGCACAUUUCUUGUGUGACCGCGUACUUUUUGUAGAACGGGCCAACGAGUUACGUUAAGUAGCAAGGUUAAGCACUUAAGGUGCGGAGCCGUAGCGAAAGCGAGUUUUAACUGAGCGUUCAGUUACUUGACGUAGACCCGAAACCGGGCGACCUACCCAUGAGCAGGAUGAAGCGAAAGUAAAAUUUCGUGGAGGUCCGAACCCACGAGCGUUGAAAAGCUCGGGGAUGACUUGUGGGUAGCGGUGAAAUUCCAAUCGAGCCCGGAGAUAGCUGGUUCUCCCCGAAAUAGCUUUAGGGCUAGCCUCAAGGUGAGAGAUACGGAGGUAGAGCACUGAAUGUCCUAGGGGGUAUUGCACCUACCGAAGACUAUCAAACUCCGAAUGCCGUCAUCUUAUACUUGGGAGUCAGACUGUGGGUGAUAAGAUUCAUAGUCGAAAGGGCAACAGCCCAGAUCGUCAGCUAAGGUCCCUAAAUGUAAGUUAAGUGGUAAAGGAUGUGGGAUUGCACAGACAACCAGGAUGUUGGCUUAGAAGCAGCCACUCAUUCAAAGAGUGCGUAAUAGCUCACUGGUCGAGUGAUCCUGCGCCGAAGAUUUCCGGGGCUAAAACUUACUACCGAAGCUACGGCAUCAGUAAUGAUGGGUAGGGGAGCUUCCCAUACGGGUUGAAGCAUGACCGUAAGGACAUGUGGACAGUAUGGGAGUGAGAAUGUUGGCAUGAGUAGCGAGAUGUGGGUGAGAAUCCCACAGGCCGUAAACCCAAGGUUUCCAGGGGAAGGUUCGUCCGCCCUGGGUUAGUCGGGACCUAAGCUGAGGCCGAAAGGCGUAGGUGAUGGACAACAGGUUGAUAUUCCUGUACUACCGAUAACCGUUUGAGAGAAGGGAUGACACAGUAGGAUAAGCUAAGCACACUGUUGGUUAUGUGUGCCCAAGCAUUGAGGCAGUCAAAGUAGGCAAAUCCGCUUUGAUAAUGCUGGGAUGUGAUGGGGAGCGAAAUUUAGUAGCGAAGUAGCUGAUUUCACACUGUCAAGAAAAGUCUCUAUCGAGGUUAAAGGUACCCGUACCGCAAACCGACACAGGUGGGUGAGGAGAGUAUCCUAAGGCCAGCGAGAGAACUGUUGUUAAGGAACUCGGCAAAAUGACCCCGUAACUUAGGGAUAAGGGGUGCCACCAUCAGGUGGCCGCAGAGAAUAGGCCCAAGCGACUGUUUACCAAAAACAUAGGUUUCUGCUAAGUCGCAAGACGAUGUAUAGGAGCUGACGCCUGCCCGGUGCUGGAAGGUUAAGGGGAUCUGUUAGAGCAAUCGAAGCAGUGAACUUAAGCCCCAGUAAACGGCGGCCGUAACUAUAACGGUCCUAAGGUAGCGAAAUUCCUUGUCGGGUAAGUUCCGACCCGCACGAAAGGCGUAACGAUUUGGGCACUGUCUCAACAACAGACUCGGUGAAAUUGUAAUUCCGGUGAAGAUGCCGGAUACCUGCGACAGGACGGAAAGACCCCAUGGAGCUUUACUGUAGCUUGACAUUGGGUCUUGGUACUACAUGUACAGGAUAGGUGGGAGGCUUUGAAACCAGGACGCCAGUUUUGGCGGAGCCAUCCUUGGGAUACCACCCUUGUAGUACUGGGACUCUAACCAUAGGCCAUGAAUCUGGUCUUGGGACACUGUCAGGUGGGCAGUUUGACUGGGGCGGUCGCCUCACAAAAGGUAAAGGAGGCGCUCCAAGGUGCUCUCAGUACGGUCGGAACUCGUACGGAGAGUGGAAAGGCAAAAGAGAGCGU
rnacentral:rRNA from 1 species